rnacentral:lncRNA from 1 species
GUUAGAUCUUCAGAGAUAUAGAGAUGGCCCUUGCCUUUAGAGGGAAAGAUGCAGUUGUUUUUCUUCCAAGGAGACUAUCAAGAAGCCAGAGAACCAAAAACAGUGAUAACUGAAAAAGAACUCUAGGACUGAAGGAACUUAGGAUGGUUUUUAAAAUUUUGGAAGUCCCAGCCUAUGUUGUAUCAAAUAGAUUUAAAAGUUUUUUUUUUGUUGUUGUUUUUUAUUUUUUGAGACUGAGUCUCACUCUGUAGGCCAGGCUGGAGUGCAGUCUUGCUCUGUGGACCAGGUUCACUGCAACCUCUGCCUCUGGAGUCCAGGUGAUUCUCAUGUCUCAGCCUCCCAAGUAGCUGGCAUUACAGGUGCACGCUGCUAUACCCAGCUAAUUUUUGUAUUUUUUAUUAGAGACAGGGUUUCACCAGGUUGGCCACGCUGGUCUCGAACUCCUGACCUCAAGUGAUUCUUCUGCCUCAGCCUCCCAAAAUGCUGGGGUGCUCGGCCUAAACGUUUUUUUAAUUGACAAAAAAUGUUGUAUGUAUUUAUUGUGUACAACGUAGUGUUUUGAAAUACGUAUACAUUGUGAAUGGCUCAACUGAGCUAAUUGACAUAUGCAUUAUCUCACAUAAUUUUUUUUGUGGUGAGAACACAAAUACACUAACUAUAGUCCCCAUGUUGUACAACAGAUCUCUUGAACUUAUUUCUCCUGUCUCACUGAAAUUUUGUGCCCUUUGACCAACAUCUCCCCAGCUCCCUCACUGCCCCACCUCUCGCCACCCCCAGGCCCACCAUUCUACUCUUUGCGUCUAUGCAUUCAAUUUUUCUUUUUUCCCCCAAGACAGAGUUUCGCUCUGUCUCCCAGGCUGGAGUGCAGUGGUGUGAUCUUGGCUCACUGCAACCUCCACCUCCUGGGUUCAAGCAAUUCUCAUGCCUUAGCCUCUUGAGUAGCUGGGAUUACAGGUUUGUGCCACCACGCCUGGAUAAUUUCUGUAUUUUUAGUAGAGAUGGGGUUUCACCAUGCUGGCCAGGCUGGUCUCAAACUCCUGACCUCGUGAUCUGCCUGCCUUGGCCUCCUAAAGUGCUGAGAUUACAGACGUGAGCCACCGCGCCUGGCCUCAAUUUUUUUUUUUUUUUUUUUUUUUUUUACAUUCCAGAUAUAAAUGAGAUCAUGUAGUAUUUGCCUGGGCUAUUUCACUUAAUAUAAUGUCCUCUGGGCUCAUCCAUGUUGUCAUAUAUGACAGCAUUUCCUUCUAAGGCUGAACAGUAUUUAAUUGUGUAAAUGCUUUCUUUAUCCAUUUAUUCACUGACGGACACUUAGGUUGAUUCUGUAUCUUGGCUAUUGUGAAUAAUGCUGUAAUGAACAAACACAGGAGUGCAGAUUAUUUCCUUAACAUACUGAUUUUAUUUCCUUUGGAUAUAUACCCAGUAGUGGGGUUGCUGGAGCAUAUGGUAGUUCUAUUUCUAUUUUUCUGAGCACCUCCGUAAUGUUUUCUAUAAUGGCUGUUUUCUAUAAUGUACAAUGUAUGAUUUUAUAAUGUUUUCUAUAAUAGUAAUUUACAUUCCCACCAACAGUGUGCAAGGGUACCCUCUUCUCCACUUCCUUGCCAACACCUUAACUUUUGUGCAUUUUUUUUUUUUUUUUGAGACAUGGUUUCACUUUGUCACCCAGGCUGGAGUGCAGUGGUGCAAUCACAGCUCACUGCAGCCUCAAACUCCUGGGCUCAAGUGAUCUUCCUGCCUCAGCCUCCCAAGUCACUGGGUCUACAGGUGCACGCCACCAUACCUGGUUAAUUUUUAUUUUUUGUGGAGACUCACUCUGUUGCCCAGGAUGGUUUCGAACUCCUGGGUUCAAGCGAUCCUUCUGCUUAGGCCUCCGAAAGUGUUGGGAUUACAGGCAUCAGCCACUGUGCCCUGCCAUCUUUGAUAAUAGCCAUUCUGCCAUGUGUGAGGUAAUAUCUCAUUGAGGUUUUAACUUUCAUUUCCCUGAUGGUUAAUAAUGUCGAGCACUUUUUCAUAUACAUGUUGACCAUUUGUAUGUCUUUUUUUUGAGAAAAGUCUAUUCAGGUCCUUUGCCUAGCUUUUAAUUGGGUUCUUGGUUUUCUUGCUAUUGACUUGUAUAUUUUGGAUAUUAAACCCUUAUCAGAAUGUGUGGCUUGCAAAUAUUUUUUCCAGGUUGUCUCUUCACUGUUGUUUCCUUUGCUGUGAAGCUUUUUAGUUUGAUAUAAUAUUAUUUGUCUAUUUUUGCUUUUGUUGUCUGUGCUUUUGGGGAUCAUAUUUAAAAAACCAUUGCCCAGACCAAUGUCAUGGAGCUUUUAUCUUGUUUUCUUUUCUUUUAUUUUCUUUUUUUAAAUCUUGUUUUCUUCUAGCAAUUUUAUAUUUUCAGGUCUUAAGUCUUUAAUCCACUGUGAAUUGAUUUUUGUAUAUGGUAUGAGAUAAAGGUCUAAUUCCAUUCUUUCGCAUGUAGACAAUUUUCCCAACACUAUUUAUCGAAGAGACUGUCCUUUCCUCAUGUGUGUUCUUGAUACCAUUGUCAAAAAUCAAUUUUCUGUAAAUACACAGACUUCUGGGCACUUUAUUCUGUUCCAUUGUCUAUGUGUCUUCUUUGUUGUCAGUACUGUACUGUUUUGAUUACUAUAACUUCUUAGUAUAUUUUGAAGUCAGGUAGUGUGAUGCCUCCAGUUUUGUUUUUUGCUCAAGGUUGCUUUGGCUAUUUAGGGUCUUUUGUGGUUCUAUUCAAAUUUCAGGAUAUUUUCUAUUUCUGUGAAAAAAGUCAUUGAAAUUUUGAUAUGGGUUGCAUUAAGUUUGUAGAUCACUUUGGGUAGUAUGGACAUUUGAACAACAUUAAUUCUUCUAAUUCAUGAACAUGGUUUAUCUUUCCAUUUAUUGGCAUCUUCUUCAAUUUAUGUUUUAUAGUUUUUAGUGUAUCAGUUUUUCACCUCUUUGGUUUAAUUUAUUCCUAAGUAUUUAAUUUUUUUAACUUUUCUGAAUGGGAUUGUUUUCUUGAUUUUUUUUCAGAUAGUUCACUGUUAGUGUAUAGAAAUGCUAUGAAUUUUUGUAUGUUGAAUUUUGUAUCCUGCAACUUAACUGAAUUCAUUUGUUAGUUCUAACUUUUUUGGUAGAAUCAGUAAGGUUUUCUGUAUUAUAACAUUAUCUUAUCUGCAAACAGGGACAGUUAAACUUCUUCCAGUUUGGCUGUCUUUUCUUUCUCUUGCAUAAUUGCUCCGGCUAGGAUUACCAUGUUGAACAGAAGUGGCUAGAGUGGGCAUCCUUGUCUUGUUUCUGAUCUUAGAGGAAAAGCUUCCAACUUUUCACCAGUGAGUUAGGAUGUUAGCUAUGGGUUUGUCAUAGAUGCUUCUUUAUUGUGUUAAGGUACAUUCCUUCUAUACCAAAUUUAAUAAGAUCAAAUACAUUAAAAUAUGCUCAAGUUCCACAUUAAACAGCAAUUUAGUUUUGCUAUAACAAUUUUGUAUGACUUUUGUAAUUGUAUUUGAAAUUAAUUUCAUUUUGCAUUUUUUUUCUUUUGGCACUGUAAUAUUUUUUCAGAUUGCAAACAUUUUCACAAGCUUUGAAAGACUUGGAAAUCUUGCACAUGGUGCUCACCAAGCCCAAAGACAAAAUGGCUCAGAGACCCUGGGGACCCAGCGUAGUGGAACACUGACCCUCAAGAGUGAGAAAGGAGACCCUGGCAGAAGACAGCAGAGGUACCACAUGACAGUUUGGGGAAGGGAUUGAAGGUCUGCGUCAAAGAGAACAGAAAACCUCUCCAGGUUGUCUUUUGGCAAUAACUAAAGAGAGAAAGAUAACAAACAUAGGAAAGAUAUCUCUACUCCCAUAUACAUCCUCCAGUAUAGGCACACGUAAGAAAGCCUAGGGCUGAGGGCACUCACAGGGAAACACCUCCAAAUGAUGAGGACCUUGUGAGCUUCCUAAGCCAGGUGACCACAAAGACGCGUGGACAAUCCACUGACCCAGCAAGCAGGGAGUGUCACUUGUCCUGUGAAGAACACCAGAAUACAGUUGGCCUUUCUAAUCUGCAUGCAGGUCCCAUAUCCAUAUUCAAGCAACCAUGGAUCAAAAAUAUUGGGGGGAAAAAAAACUAAUGAUAAAUUAACAAGGGGCCAGGCGCAGUCAUCUAUAAUCCCAGCACUUUAGGAGGCCAAGGUGGGAGGAUAGGUUGAGCCCAUAAGUUUAAGAUCAGCCUGGCAAAUGUGGAGAUUCCAACUCUACAAAAAAUAAAAAAAAUUAGCUAGGCAUAGGGGUGCACUCUUAUGCUCCCAGCUACUCUAAAGGCUGAGGCAGGAGGAUUGUUUGAACCAAGGAAGUUGAGGCUGCAGUGAGCCAUGUAUUUGCCACUGUACUCCAGCUUUGGCAAUAAUGUACCACCCUGUCUCAAACAACAACAACAAAAAACCAUUACAGGCUGGGCAUGGUGGCUCAUGCCUGUAAUCCCAGAACUCUGGGAGGUCAAGGCAGGAGGAUCACUUGAGCCCAGGAGUUUGAGGUUACACUGAGCUAGGAUCAUACCACUGCACUUCAGCCUGGGUGACAGAGCAAGACCCUGUUUUCACAACAAAACAAUGCAAUACUGAAAAUAUCACAGACGAAAAAACCAAUACAGCAUAAUAACGAUUUACAUAGGAUUUACAUUGUAUUCAGUAUUAUGAGUAGAGAUGAUUGAAAGUAUGUGGGGGGAUGUGUAGAUUGUAUGCAAAUAUCGUGCCCUUUUAUAUAAAGGCCAUGAGCAUCCAGAGAUUUUGCUAUCCUUAGGGGAUCGUGAAACCAGUCCCCAACAGACACGGAGAAAUGACAUUACUAAACACAGCAACUUUAUGGGAUUGUAUCCAGAUUACAUAAGCCCACACCAGAGCCAAAGAAGAUGGAGGAGGAAUGGGAUUCAUUCUUCCAGACAAUACGUUGACAGAAAAAAAUUUGAACUUCU